CACGGGGGAGCAAGCGUUGUUCGGAAUCACUGGGCGUAAAGGGUGUCUAGGCGGUCAGGUAAGUGAGAUGUGAAAUGCCCCGGCUUACCCGGGGACCGGCAUCUCAUACUGUCUGGCUUGAGUAGUGGGAGAGGAUGAGGGAAUUCCUGGUGUAGCGGUGAAAUGCGUAGAUAUCAGGAGGAACACCGGUGGCGAAAGCGA
rnacentral:rRNA from 1 species